rnacentral:rRNA from 1 species
AUUCUAGAGCUAAUACAUGCUAAAAACCUCGACUUCGGAAGGGGUGUAUUUAUUAGAUAAAAAACCAAUGCCCUUCGGGGCUCCUUGGUGAUUCAUAAUAACUUCUCGAAUCGCAUGGCCUUGUGCCGGCGAUGGUUCAUUCAAAUUUCUGCCCUAUCAACUUUUGAUGGUAAUUUAGUGGAUUACCAUGGUUUCUACGGGUAACGGGGGAUUAGGGUUCUAUUCCGGAGAGGGAGCCUGAGAAACGGCUACCACAUCCAAGGAAGGCAGCAGGCGCGCAAAUUACCCAAUCCCGAUACGGGGAGGUAGUGACAAUAAAUACUGAUACAGGGCUCUUUUGGGUCUUGUAAUUGGAAUGAGUACAAUUUAAAUCCCUUAACGAGGAGCAAUUGGAGGGCAAGUCUGGUGCCAGCAGCCGCGGUAAUUCCAGCUCCAAUAGCGUAUAUUAAAGUUGUUGCAGUUAAAAAGCUCGUAGUUGAAACUUGGGUCUGGCUGUCCGGUCCGCCUCACCGCGUGCACUGGUUCGGCCGGACCUUUCCUUCUGGGGAGCCGCAUGCCCUUCAUUGGGUGUGCCGGGGAACCAGGACUUUUACUUUGAAAAAAUUAGAGUGUUCAAAGCAGGCAUAUGCUCGAAUACAUUAGCAUGGGAUAAUAGAAUAGGACGUGUGGUCCUAUUUUGUUGGUUUCUAGGACCGCCGUAAUGAUUAAUAGGGAUAGUCGGGGACGUCUGUAUUCUUUAGUCAGAGGUGAAAUUCUUGGAUUUAUUGAAGACAAACUACUGCGAAAGCAUUCGUCAAGGAUGUUUUCAUUAAUCAGUGAACGAAAGUUAGGGGAUCGAAGACGAUCAGAUACCGUCGUAGUCUUAACCGUAAACUAUGCCGACUAGAGAUCGGACGGUGUUAUUAUUUUGACCCGUUCGGCAUCUUACGAGAAAUCAAAGUUUUUGGGUUCUGGGGGGAGUAUGGUCGCAAGGCUGAAACUUAAAGACAUUGACGGAAGGGCACCACCAGGCGUGGAGCCUGCGGCUUAAUUUGACUCAACACGGGGAAACUCACCAGGUCCAGAUUUGAUAAGGAUUGACAGAUUGAGAGCUCUUUCUUGAUU